rnacentral:misc_RNA from 1 species
AAUUCUCAACCUUUUCAACUUUUUCUGUUGAUCAGGCUUGGAUGUGGGAGUGUGCGGGCUUCUCAGAAGUCGGCUCUCCUGAAAUGCAUUAGCGGGACCUUUGUUGCCUGGCUCUGGUGUGAUAAUUAUCUACGCCAUUGUGAAGAGCAGCUUUAAUAAAGGAGGUUCAGCUUCUAAUCGUCUCUUUCGAGACAACUUCUGACA